UGAUUCGAGAGUUAGAGGGAGUAUGGAAGUAGGAAGAGCAUUCCAAUUUUCUCAGCCUGAGAGAAUCCUUGCGGAGAUAGUUUCACAGUCUGUUCCUCUUAUGGCUCAGAUUGUGCAGGAGCUUCCUGAUGAAACGGUUGAAUCAACAAAGGAUUACUUGAGAAGUCUAAUUGCAAAUCCUGAGAAGAAAGACCUUUUGGUCAGCCUUCAGAAUAUGCUUCAUGGGAGAUCUGACCUUAAUGUUGCGACUCUCUUAGAGUGUAAUACGACUCAACUACAAAUUUUUGUUGCCAUAAAAAUGGGUCAUAGAAGUUUCUUAUCUUUGGAAAACCACAUUCAAGUUGCUGAAUUGAUUGAGAUUUUUUCUCUUGAAAGGUGUCGGAACAUACGCUGCAAAAGUGUGUUACCUGCUGAUGAUUGUAAA
rnacentral:misc_RNA from 1 species